CCCUGCUGCUGACAUGACACUGCAUUUUGCACCAAUUUGAAAAGCAAAAGGACCCCUCCCCCCUAAAAAAAAAAACAGAUCUUGAAAGAGGGCAGCAAAGGCUGCAUGCACUGCAACCAUUGCCCAGAAGACAGAUGUGAGUCUUGUAGAGAGAAGGACCUGCCUGUCUGCCUGUCUGUCCACAGAGGUGGCUUAUACAAAGGGUGGAGAAAGAUAUGAUAAGGAAGAAGCUUCAGGCCAGCAGCCAGGAGAUGAACACCUGUCUGAGAGAAAAGUCUGGAAAAAAACAGUGUUGAAAGGAGCCCUCCUCGUCCCUGGAAGCAGAGAGUUGCAGAGCUAAUGCUCUGAGAUCUUCUGAUAGGGAUGAAAGAAAUGGAGGCAACACGGAGAACUCUUCUGGAACAACCACAAAAGAACCCUCAAGGAGUAGGUGGAAAGGCAAGCAAGUAAAGGCACUGCCUCCCACUCCCUGUGCUAGCUUGGCUAAGUCCCUGAGCCCCACUAGACCACUGUUUCCCCACCUGCAAAAAGUAAGAGGCUCCACUGGACAGUCUCCCAAGUCCCUUCUAAGUGGAUCAUUGCAUGACUUGGUGAGACAGUUCUUGCCUAUCUCUCUUCCCACUCCAUCUCCUCCUUCCUUGGUCUCAAGCUUCUGUCUUCUUCCUUCCUGCUCCCCACUCUGUCUAGAACACCACAGCCUUUUUUUAAAGUUACUCUGCCCAUGCUGCAACAAUGAAGAAACUCUGACAUCUCCAUCAACAGAUCUCUCCCAGAAAUGAAAACAUCAAAAACAGAAGUAAACACGAAAAAGCCUUUGGAAGAUUAUUACAAGAAACAUAUGGGUGUUUACACUGGGUAUAAAGGUUCCCAAACCUGCUCCAUGAGGAGGUCCUGAUGGUUCUAAUUAGCACCAUCAUCUGCAACUACCUAAGAUCCUAGUAUCUUUGGGUCAGCUUGAUUUAGACAAUAUAUCUGCUAAAGGGGGAAAAAAGUAUUGUGUUGUAAAGCAGGAUUAAUGAAGACCAAUUCAGAAACUUCCUUAGGGGAGAAGAAAUGGCCUGACUCUUCCCUGUGGUACACACACCCAAAAAAAACAAACAAACAAACAAAAACUUCAGAAAACCUACAUCUGGGGCAUCCUAAUCUCUGAGAAAUAGCCACCAAUUAAAGCUGUUACAUGAUAUAAACAUAUUUGUGUACUCUCACUUCUAUAGUCAAAUGUUACUCAUUCAAACCACUGGGAGAGGCAGCUUUAAAAAAAAAAAGUAAAAUAAUUCAGGCUUGUCACUGAUUGUUUUAUUAUUCUAAAAUCUCUUCAGUAAUUCCAAAUAGGCCAUCAGAAUAGGCCUAAGUAAAAGUCCUUACAGCAUCUACUUAAUGACCACACAAGUGUUUUAUAAUUAGCAUAACACCUUAGUUGGGUAUAUUAAGAGUUGUUCAAAUGCUUGGGGAAGUUUGGUGCUUUGAAACUGGUAAAUAUUACCACUUCCAAUCCAAUUUUGCAGUGUUUAUUUGCUUGACGAUAACUACAUAGUGAAAGGAAAACCUUUGUAAAAAUCUCUACCUGAAUGCCUGAAAAGUCCUGAUCAGUGGACUUGAAUGAAGUUUAAUGAAAGCCUGGGGGAGGUGGGUGGGAAGUGAGAUAGUGAACUCUUUUAACAGGUGGUGUGUGUUUCAAGCACCAGGUGCCAGGCUGGAUUAGAUGAUCACAAAGUCACUUUUGACUCCAAGUAUGAUUCUAUGCAUUUUAUUGGAAUCUCUUUUUUUUUUAAUAAUGUAUGUAGAUUGUUUCCA
ensembl:lncRNA